ACGGAGGAUGCGAGCGUUAUCCGGAUUCAUUGGGUUUAAAGGGUGCGCAGGCGGACUAAUAAGUCAGUGGUGAAAUCCCAUAGCUCAACUAUGGAACUGCCAUUGAUACUGUUAGACUAGAGUAUAUUUGACGUAGGCGGAAUGCGACAUGUAGCGGUGAAAUCCCUAGAUCCGUCGCGGACCACCGAUUGCGAAGGCAGCUCACGAAGCUAUAUCCGACACUCAUGAACGAAAGCGUGGGGAUCAAACAG
rnacentral:rRNA from 1 species